rnacentral:rRNA from 1 species
AACGAACGCUGGCGGCGUGCUUAACACAUGCAAGUCGAACGCGAAAGGGACUUCGGUCCUGAGUAAAGUGGCGCACGGGUGAGUAACGCGUAGAUAACCUGUCUUCGUGUCUGGAAUAAUACGCCGAAAGGUGUACUAAUACCGGAUAUUCUUGCUUUAUAUAAGUUUUGCAAGCAAAGGUGGCCUCUGCAUAUGCUACCGCAUGAAGAGGGGUCUGCGUACCAUUAGCUAGUAGGUAGGGUAAUGGCCUACCUAGGCGACGAUGGUUAGCGGGUCUGAGAGGAUGAUCCGCCACACUGGCACUGGAACACGGGCCAGACUCCUACGGGAGGCAGCAGUGAGGAAUAUUGCGCAAUGGGGGCAACCCUGACGCAGCGACGCCGCGUGAGUGAGGAAGGCCUUCGGGUCGUAAAGCUCUGUCAAAGGGAAAGAAGUGCAUGAUGGCUAAUACCUGUCAUGUUUGACGGAACCCUUAAAGGAAGCACCGGCUAACUCCGUGCCAGCAGCCGCCGUAA